rnacentral:rRNA from 1 species
UGGGGAAUUUUGGUCAAUGGGCGGGAGCCUGAGCCAGCCAAGCCGCGUGAGGGAGGAAGGCCCUAUGGGUCGUAAACCUCUUUUGUCAGGGAACAAAAGCGAGUAUGUAUACUAGUCUGAGUGUACCUGAAGAAAAAGCAUCGGCUAACUCCGUGCCAGCAGCCGCGGUAAUACGGAGGAUGCGAGCGUUAUCCGGAUUUAUUGGGUUUAAAGGGUGCGUAGGCGGCGGUGCAAGUCAGCGGUAAAAGCCCGGGGGCUCAACCCCGGCGAGCCGUUGAAACUGCAGUGCUAGAGAAGGCGAGAGGUACGCGGAAUGCGCAGUGUAGCGGUGAAAUGCUUAGAUAUUGCGCAGAACUCCGAUUGCGAAGGCAGCGUACUGGCGCCUGACUGACGCUGAGGCACGAAAGCGUGGGGAUCGAACAGGAUUAGAUACC